AGUGAACGCUGGCGGCGUGCCUAACACAUGCAAGUCGAACGGGCUAGUGCUUCGCACUAGUCUCUUUCUGGGGUUGUUACUCUAAGGCUACCUGCUAAAGUUAUUGCUUUAAAGCAGGGGUUUUAGGAGACUUUCUCCGAAAGGGGCCAGUGCGGAGCACUGGCCAGUGGCGAACGGGUGAGUAACACGUGGGUAAUCUACCCUCGAGUGGGGAAUAAGCUUCCGAAAGGGGGUCUAAUGCCGCAUAACGUUUCAUAACGAUGGUUAUGAAACCAAAGCCCAAAAGGCGCUCGAGGAGGAGCCUGCGUCCUAUCAGCUUGUUGGCAGGGUAAUGGCCUACCAAGGCUAUGACGGGUAGCCGGCCUGAGAGGGUGUCCGGCCACACUGGAACUGAGACACGGUCCAGACUCCUACGGGAGGCAGCAGUGGGGAAUUUUGCGCAAUGGGGGAAACCCUGACGCAGCGACGCCGCGUGGAGGAUGACGGCCUUCGGUUGGUAACGUUACCUGUCAGAAGGACGAAAGUACCG
rnacentral:rRNA from 1 species